rnacentral:rRNA from 1 species
AUUGAACGCUGGCGGCAGGCCUAACACAUGCAAGUCGAACGAGUGGCGGACGGGUGAGUAAUGUAUGGGAAACUGCCUGAUAGAGGGGGAUAACUACUGGAAACGGUAGCUAAUACCGCAUACCAUCAAAUGUGCCCAUAGGGGAUUAGCUUGUUGGUGGGGUAACGGCUCACCAAGGCGACGAUCCCUAGCUGGUCUGAGAGGAUGAUCAGCCACACUGGGACUGAGACACGGUCCAGACUCCUACGGGAGGCAGCAGUGGGGAAUAUUGCGCAAUGGGCGCAAGCCUGAUGCAGCCAUGCCGCGUGUAUGAAGAAGGCCUUCGGGUUGUAAAGUACUUUCAGUGGGGAGGCGUUACCCGCAGAAGAAGCACCGGCUAACUCCGUGCCAGCAGCCGCGGUAAUUC